rnacentral:rRNA from 1 species
AUGGAGAUGAAACCCAAAAGAUUUUCGUUGGGGCGUAACCCUCUCAGCGACGCGCCACAUCGGAACCCGGGUGUGGUGGAAAAUGGGCAAGGGCCGGGCCGUCACCCCCCAAGUGGCGCGCCGUAUCUUGAUCCGGAUACGGUGGCUAGUGAGCGAGGAUCGGGUCGUCGCAUCCUUAGUGGCGCGCUACAUCGGCGCCCGAAUGUAGUGGAAAAUGAGCAAGGGUCUUCGCAUUUGACUCGACGAGUGCGAAGGGUAAGGAAGCUAGCCGAGCCUAGGAGGAUUCGCUUAGGUAGCUGGAACGUAGGGUCUCUGACAGGGAAGCUUCGGGAGCUAGUUGAUGCAGCAGUGAGGAGAGGUGUUGAUAUCCUUUGCGUCCAAGAAACCAAAUGGAGAGGACAGAAGGCGAAGGAGGUGGAGGAUACCGGCUUCAAGCUGUGGUACACGGGGACGGCUGCAAACAGAAAUGGCGUAGGCAUCUUGAUCAACAAGAGCCUCAAGUAUGGAGUGGUAGACGUCAGGAGACGUGGGGACCGGAUUAUCCUGGUCAAGCUGGUAGCUGAGGACUUGGUUCUCAAUGUUAUCAGCGCAUAUGCCCCGCAAGUAGGCCACAAUGAGAACACCAAGAGGGAGUUCUGGAAAGGCUUGGAAGACAUGGUUAGGAGUGUACCGAUUGGUGAGAAGCUCUUCAUAGGAGGAGACCUCAAUGGCCACGUGGGUACAUCUAACACAGGUUUUGAAGGGGCGCAUGGGGGCUUUGGCUAUGGCAUCAGGAAUCAAGAAGGAGAAGAUGUCUUAAGCUUUGCUCUAGCCUACAACAUGAUUGUAGCUAACACCCUCUUUAGAAAGAGAGAAUCACAUCUGGUGACUUUUAGUAGUGGCCAACACUCUAGCCAGAUUGAUUUCAUCCUCUCGAGAAGAGAAGAUAGGCGUGCGUGCCUAGACUGUAAGGUGAUACCUGGGGAGAGUGUUGUACCCCAGCAUAAGCUGGUGGUUGCUGACUUCCGCUUUCGGAUUCGUGUCCAGCGGGAUAAGCGUGCCAAGGUCGCUAGAACGAAGUGGUGGAAGCUCAAGGGGGAGGUAGCUCAGGUGUUCAAGGAGAGGGUAUUUAAGGAGGGCCCUUGGGAGGAAGGAGGGGAUGCGGACAAUGUGUGGAUGAAGAUGGCGACUUGCAUUCGUAAGGUGGCCUCGGAGGAGUUUGGAGUGUCCAGGGGAAGGAGAAGCGAAGAUAACGAUACCUGGUGGUGGAAUGAUGAUGUCCAGAAGGCGCUUAAAGAGAAGAAAGAUUGCUUGAGACGCCUAUACCUGGAUAGGAGUGCAGACAACAUAGAGAAGUACAAGAUGGCGAAGAAGGCCGCAAAGCGAGCUGUUGGUGAAGCAAGGGGUCGGGCAUAUGAGGACCUCUACCAACGGUUAGGCACGAAGGAAGGUGAAAGGGACAUCUAUAAGAUGGCUAAGAUCCGGGAGAGGAAGACGAGGGAUAUUGGCCAAGUCAAAUGCAUCAAGGACGGAGCAGGCCAACUCUUGGUGAAGGACGAAGAGAUUAAGCAUAGAUGGCGGGAGUACUUCGACAAGCUGUUCAAUGGGGAGAAUGAGAGUUCUACCAUUGAACUGAAUGACUCCUUUGAUGAGACCAGCAUGCGUUUUGUGCGGCGCAUCCAGGAGUCUGAGGUGAAGGAGGCUUUAAAAAGGAUGAAAGGAGGCAAGGCGAUGGGCCCUGAUUGUAUCCCCAUUGAGGUGUGGAAAGGUCUCGGGGACAUAGCGAUAGUAUGGCUAACCAAGCUUUUCAACCUUAUUUUUCGGGCAAACAAGAUGCCAGAAGAAUGGAGACGGAGUAUAUUAGUACCAAUCUUCAAGAACAAGGGGGAUGUUCAGAGUUGUACUAAUUACCGUGGAAUUAAGCUGAUGAGCCAUACAAUGAAGCUAUGGGAGAGAGUCAUUGAGCACCGCUUAAGAAGAAUGACAAGCGUGACCAAAAAUCAGUUUGGUUUCAUGCCUAGGAGGUCGACCAUGGAAGCCAUUUUCUUGGUACGACAACUUAUGGAGAGAUAUAGGGAGCAUAAGAAGGACUUGCAUAUGGUGUUCAUUGACUUGGAGAAGGCCUAUGAUAAGAUACCGCGGAAUGUCAUGUGGUGGGCCUUGGAGAAACACAAAGUCCCAGCAAAGUACAUUACCCUCAUCAAGGACAUGUACAAUAAUGUUGUGACAAGUGUUUGA